GUGCCAGCCGCCGCGGUAAUACGUAGGUGGCAAGCGUUGUCCGGAUUUAUUGGGUUUAAAGGGUGCGUAGGCGGCCCUGUAAGUCAGUGGUGAAAUACUCCAGCUUAACUGGAGGGGUGCCAUUGAUACUGCAGGGCUUGAGUACAGAUGAAGUAGGCGGAAUUGACGGUGUAGCGGUGAAAUGCAUAGAUAUCGUCAAGAACUCCGAUAGCGAAGGCAGCUUACUAAGCUGUAACUGACGCUGAGGCACGAAAGUGUGGGGAUCAAACAGGAUUAGAUACCCUAGUAGUCC
rnacentral:rRNA from 1 species